rnacentral:rRNA from 1 species
GACGAACGCUGGCGGCGUGCUUAACACAUGCAAGUCGAACGAAGAGCGAUGGAAGCUUGCUUCUAUCAAUCUUAGUGGCGAACGGGUGAGUAACGCGUAAUCAACCUGCCCUUCAGAGGGGGACAACAGUUGGAAACGACUGCUAAUACCGCAUACGAUCUAACCUUGGCAUCGAGGAUGGAUGAAAGGUGGCCUCUAUUUAUAAGCUAUCACUGAAGGAGGGGAUUGCGUCUGAUUAGCUAGUUGGAGGGGUAACGGCCCACCAAGGCGAUGAUCAGUAGCCGGUCUGAGAGGAUGAACGGCCACAUUGGGACUGAGACACGGCCCAGACUCCUACGGGAGGCAGCAGUGGGGAAUCUUCCGCAAUGGACGAAAGUCUGACGGAGCAACGCCGCGUGAGUGAUGACGGCCUUCGGGUUGUAAAGCUCUGUUAAUCGGGACGAAAGGCCUUCUUGCGAAUAGUGAGAAGGAUUGACGGUACCGGAAUAGAAAGCCACGGCUAA